rnacentral:rRNA from 1 species
GGGGAAUUUUCCGCAAUGGGCGCAAGCCCGACGGAGCAAUACCGCGUGAGGGAGGAAGGCUUUUGGGUCGUAAACCUCUUUUAUUGGGGAAGAAGCACUGACGGUACCCAAUGAAUCAGCAUCGGCUAACUCCGUGCCAGCAGCCGCGGUAAUACGGAGGAUGCAAGCGUUAUCCGGAAUUAUUGGGCGUAAAGCGUCCGCAGGUGGUUAAUCAAGCCUGCUGUUAAAGCGUGCGGCUUAACCGCAUAUCGGCAGUGGAAACUGGUUGACUAGAGUUCGGUAGGGGUCACGGGAAUUCCCAGUGUAGCGGUGAAAUGCGUAGAUAUUGGGAAGAACACCAGCGGCGAAAGCGCGUGACUGGGCCUGAACUGACACUGAGGGACGAAAGCUAGGGGAGCGAAAGGGAUUAGAUACCCCUGUAGUC